CUACCACAUGUUCAUUCUUCUCUCUCUUUCUUCUCUCUUGCUGCUUCACCAGCAUUGUUGGCUAUCUCCACCACACGAAUCAUUGGUGGCCACACAGUGGCAGCGACGGGGGCAAGACGACACGGGGUAGGGGGAGGCACUGGAGCUUGCUAGGAGCCACACGGCGAUGGAGGCGAUGCAGCAACGCCGGCGGGGUUCUAAUGCUAAAGCGAUUGGUCCUAGUCGAGGUCACCUACCUCGUGUCGUUACUUGUCCGAGGGCAGUGCCCGAAGUUGAAGAAGAAGACAGAGGUGUUGGGGGACGGUAGCCCGGAGUUGAAGAAGAAAAUGGAGGUUCAUUGGGCUUGUGCCUACGUCAUUGCUAAACCUUGGGAAGCUUACCAAGGUUACGCUUUCGGAGAACCUGCUUCAGGGGUUUGUGUCGUCCUUCCCGUCUAG
rnacentral:lncRNA from 1 species